CUUGGUCAUUUAGAGGAAGUAAAAGUCGUAACAAGGUUUCCGUAGGUGAACCUGCGGAAGGAUCAUUAGUGAAUUGAAUAUGUUAGCGGACCUCUUCGGAGUCCCUAGCAUCAAAUCAUAUCCAUAACACCUGUGAACUGUAAGGCUGUCUUGAAAACGAAAGUGAUUAGAGCGCCUGCCCAUUUUAUACAAACAUUAAAGUAACAAACGUAGUCUUAUUAUAAUCUAAUAAAACUUUCAACAACGGAUCUCUUGGCUCUCGCAUCGAUGAAGAACGCAGCGAAAUGCGAUAAGUAAUGUGAAUUGCAGAAUUCAGUGAAUCAUCGAAUCUUUGAACGCACCUUGCGCUCUUUGGUAUUCCGAAGAGCAUGCCUGUUUGAGUGUCAUGAAAAUAUCAACCUUGACUUGGGUUUAGUGCUCUUGUCUUGGCUUGGAUUUGGCUGUUUGCCGCUCGAAAGAGUCGGCUCAGCUUAAAAGUAUUAGCUGGAUCUGUCUUUGAGACUUGGUUUGACUUGGCGUAAUAAGUUAUUUCGCUGAGGACAAUCUUCGGAUUGGCCGAGUUUCUGGGACGUUUGUCCGCUUUCUAAUACAAGUUCUAGCUUGCUAGACAUGACUUUUUUAUUAUCUGGCCUCAAAUCAGGUAGAACUACCCGCUGAACUUAAGCAUAUCAAUAAGCGGAGGAAAAGAAACUAACAAGGAUUCCCCUAGUAACGGCGAGUGAAGCGGGAAGAGCUCAAAUUUGAAAUCUGGUGGCCUCAGGCUAUCCGAGUUGUAAUCUAUAGAAACAUUUUCCGCGUUGGCCCAUGUACAAGUCUCUUGGAAUAGAGCGUCAUAGAGGGUGAGAAUCCCGUCCUUGACAUGGACUACCAGUGCUUUGUGAUAUGUUUUCAACGAGUCGAGUUGUUUGGGAAU
rnacentral:sRNA from 1 species